AACGCGAAGAACCUUACCCAGGCUCGAAAUGUAAUGGACGAUAUCAGAGAUGGUAUUUCCCGCAAGGGCUGUUAUAUAGGUGCUGCAUGGCUGUCGUCAGCUCGUGCCGUGAGGUGUUUGGUUAAGUCCAGCAACGAGCGCAACCCUUAUCAUUAGUUGCCAACACGUAAGGUGGGGACUCUAGUGAGACUGCCUAGGUUAACUAGGAGGAAGGUGAGGAUGACGUCAAGUCCGCAUGGCCUUUAUGUCUGGGGCUACACACGUGCUACAAUGGUCGGUACAGAAGGCAGCAAGACCGCAAGGUGGAGCAAAUCCGUAAAGCCGAUCACAGUUCAGAUUGUAGUCUGCAACUCGACUACAUGAAGUUGGAAUUGCUAGUAAUGACGUGUCAGCAACAACGUCGUGAAUACGUUCCCGGGCCUUGUA
rnacentral:rRNA from 1 species